CGUUUUCUUCGUUGGGCCGGCGAAUUGUGAAGCCCUUCGUGGUGAAACGCAGCUUUUUUAUUCGGUUUAACAUGGAGUGCUUCCUCGCGGCUCCGGAGCCGAUGGCGACUCGCGUUCCCCAGAUGAUCUUUCGUCUCCUUCGUCCUGCGCAUCUCUGUAACCGAUCGAGCGUCUUUAAUCCCCCCAUUAAUCGAUUACCCACGAUCUAGAUGCAUGACGUUGGAGUCGGCUAUAAGAAGGUGUGCUUUCAAGAGUUUUCUUCACUGACUUGAAAACCGGCAGUUGAUCAUCGGUCGUGGAGACUAGGCUCAUGCGGUUCUGGGAGGCUAGAAGUGCUAGGCGUGGGGGUGAGCUCAUGAGAGUUGACAUGCUACUGGUAGACGUAAAUUCUACUAUGAUCCAAGCAAGAAUCAAUGCUCCUCGCCUUUCAAAAUUGACGUGGUUCCAUGUAUUCAUAACCGCAGGCUUACCGACUCACCCCUGUUGAUUCGAUUCAAUGGUACUACCGGCUUUGAUGAGAUAACCGAACCAGCAUUUCCCCUGCCUAAAGAAGGUUUCAGAUUCCGUGAUGAAACAGACUUGCUAAGACUAGCAAACACCAACACUCGGCUGCCAGGUGCCUUCUUAAUUCUCAAUAAGUUUGUUAGCCCUAUAUCCAUGUUUAAUAUUAAUAUAGAUGUCCGGAAUACAUUUUGGCUGAGAUUACUGCUGUCAAGAGCACCGUGAGCGAUCCUCCAAAAGGAAAAAAUCAUGUUAUGGUGACAGUAAAAUUUGAUAACGAUAACCCUGUGAUAUUGAGUCUGUUCGACAAUCAAGCAAUCGAUUUUCACAGAAGACUUGAUUCCAUGCGUGUUGAUCCAAGGGUGAUUGUUGCCACAAACAUUAACCCAAGAACAGUUGGAGGUAUUUUAUUUUAGUUACUGGUCUCUAAAGCCACUGGGAACAUUCCAGUACCUACAUUUCUGAGAGGAUACGCCAAGGUCAAGCCUUUGAGCAUACAUGAGCUGAAUGAGUUUGUCAUCACCGCCCAGCCUCAGGACGUUGAAUUUGACUGCACCGGAAAGGUGACUGGUGUUACGUCUCCUGCUCUAGGUGCACAAAGAAACUCCAACGAACUGUCGCAUUCUUUACUUGCGUAACGUGCAAUAACACUAACGUUAUUGGUGUGCUCAGGUAUCAUGUGGAGCAUUGCUGAUGACACGGAUGAAGGUUUGUUUGUUGGUUUCGAUGGAGAGAUGACGAAGCUACACAACAUGCGAGCCUAUGAAGCAGUUCAUCUAACGGCUGGAGAGGGAGUUAAUUCAGAGGAGACUCAGCCACCUCCAUUUAUUGCAGACAUGGUUGGUAAGACAUACAACUUCCAGGUUAGAGUAAGCAGAUACAAUUUUACUGCCAACCAUCAAACCUUCACGAUCUCUCGCAUCAUGAACGAACGUGACCGUCUGCCACGCCCCGACUUUGUUCCAAACGUAAAUUGCAACAUAUAUUUCAUUGUUACUGUAUCAUCCAAAUAAUGAUGUAUGUUGCUCUAUACGAUGAUGACAAUGAUAUUGAAGGUGACAUGCCUGGUGCCAACUCAGUACUCUCUAAGGUCAAAGCUGAUAGCAAUGAUCAUGAGGAAUCAUCAUCUGGAGGAACAUCGCCCAGUUGUGUCGCUACCAAGAAGGCUCGCGCAUAGAAGCUUCGAAGGCACGGAAGGAGUAAUUGGAGAUGAUAGUGUCUCGAGUCAGUUUUUAAAAUUUGAAUAAUGCUUUCGCAUCGAUGUGGUUUUUCAAUUAAGUCCUCUAGAGUUUGGUAUGUUUUUUUUACUAAAAAAUACUAUUAUGAAAAUAAUGAUUUUCUGCA